rnacentral:rRNA from 1 species
UACGUAGGGUGCAAGCGUUUGUCCGGAUUUACUGGGCGUAAAGAGCGCGCAGGCGGCUGGUCAAGUCCGAUGUGAAAUCUCCCGGCUCAACUGGGAAACUGCAUCGGAAACUGACCGGCUUGAAGGUGGGAGAGGGUAGUGGAAUUCCCGGUGUAGUGGUGAAAUGCGUAGAUAUCUGGAGGAACACCGGUGGCGAAGGCGGCAUCCUGGACCAACACUGACGCUGAGGAGCGAAAGCCAGGGGAGCAAACGGGG